GUAAGGAAUAUUGGUCAAUGGAGGCAACUCUGAACCAGCCAUGCCGCGUGCAGGAAGACGGCCCUCUGGGUUGUAAACUGCUUUUAUCCGGGAAUAAACCUGCCUUCGUGAAGGUAGCUGAAUGUACCGGAAGAAUAAGGAUCGGCUAACUCCGUGCCAGCAGCCGCGGUAAUACGGAGGAUCCAAGCGUUAUCCGGAUUUAUUGGGUUUAAAGGGUGCGUAGGCGGCCUGUUAAGUCAGGGGUGAAAGACGGUGGCUCAACCAUCGCAGUGCCCUUGAUACUGAUGGGCUUGAAUGGACUAGAGGUAGGCGGAAUGUGACAAGUAGCGGUGAAAUGCAUAGAUAUGUCACAGAACACCGAUUGCGAAGGCAGCUUACUAUGGUCCUAUUGACGCUGAGGCACGAAAGCGUGGGGAUCGAACAGGAUUAGAUACCCUAGUAGUCC
rnacentral:rRNA from 1 species